AACGAACGCUGGCGGCGUGGAUAAGACAUGCAAGUCGAACGGAAAAUGUUAAUAGUUUACUAGAGGCAUUUUUAGUGGCGGACGGGUGAGUAACACGUGAGCAACCUGCCCUAAAGUGGGGGAUAGCCUUUCGAAAGGAAGAUUAAUACCGCAUAUGGUCUACGGAUCAAAGCUGCCUUCGGGUGGCGCUUUGGGAUGGGCUCGCGGCCUAUCAGCUAGUUGGUGAGGUAAAAGCUUACCAAGGCGAUGACGGGUAGCUGGUCUGAGAGGACGAUCAGUCACACUGGAACUGAGACACGGUCCAGACACCUACGGGUGGCAGCAGUCGAGAAUCAUUCACAAUGGGGGCAACCCUGAUGGUGCAACGCCGCGUGGAGGAAGAAGGCCCUAGGGUCGUAAACUCCUGUCAUUUGAGAGUAAGGCUUAUGAGUUAAAAGCUUGUAAGUUUGAUAGUAUCAAAAGAGGAAGGGACGGCUAACUUCG
rnacentral:rRNA from 1 species